GUGUCAUUACGGCUCGUCUCAAAUGCCUGAGUGUACCUUGCUUUUGCAGUGUAUCCGGUGUAAUAAACAUUUCACCAGAGUUGGUCGCAAGACCGCAUUGUGUUUGCUCGCUCUAUGCUACAAACCGUCUUUACAGACUAUGGUUUUACCAUACUUGACAAUUUGACCUCAAAUCGGGUGGGACUACCCGCUGAACUUAA
rnacentral:misc_RNA from 1 species